AUUGAACGCUGGCGGCAGGCCUAACACAUGCAAGUCGAGCGGAUGAGGGGUGCUUGCACUCUGAUUCAGCGGCGGACGGGUGAGUAAUGCCUAGGAAUCUGCCCGAUAGUGGGGGACAACGUUUCGAAAGGAACGCUAAUACCGCAUACGUCCUACGGGAGAAAGUGGGGGAUCUUCGGACCUCACGCUAUCGGAUGAGCCUAGGUCGGAUUAGCUAGUUGGUGAGGUAAUGGCUCACCAAGGCUACGAUCCGUAACUGGUCUGAGAGGAUGGUCAGUCACACUGGAACUGAGACACGUUACAGCCUCCUACGGGAGGCAGCAGUGGGGAAUAUUGGAAAAUGGGCGAAAGCCUGAUCCAGCCAUGCCGCGUGUGUGAAGAAGGGCUUCGGAUUGUAAAGCACUUUAAGUUGGGAGGAAGGGCUGUAGGCUAAUAUCCUGCAGUUUUGACGUUACCAACAGAAUAAGCACCGGCUAACUUCGUGCCAGCAGCCGCCGUAAAAC
rnacentral:rRNA from 1 species